AGAGUUUGAUCAUGGCUCAGGAUGAACGCUGGCGGUAUGCUUUACACAUGCAAGUCGUACGAGAGUUUUUAACUCAAGUGGCGGACGGGUGAGUAACACGUAAGAAUUUGCCUUUAGGAGGGGGACAACAACUGGAACGGUUGCUAAUACCCCAUAUGCUUUCGAGUGAAACGGAUUUUUCCGCCUAAAGAGGAGCUUGCGGCUGAUUAGCUUGUUGGUGAGGUAAUGGCUCACCAAGGCGACGAUCAGUAUCUGGUUUGAGAGGACGAUCAGACACACUGGAACUGAGACACGGUCCAGACUCCUACGGGAGGCAGCAGUGGGGAAUUUUCCGCAAUGGGCGAAAGCCUGACGGAGCAAUACCGCGUGAGGGAUGACGGCCUAUGGGUUGUAAACCUCUUUUCUCAGGGAGGAAUCAAUGACGUGUACCUGAGGAAUAAGCAUCGGCUAACUCCGUGCCAGCAGCCGCGGUAAGACGGAGGAUGCAAGUGUUAUCCGGAAUCACUGGGCGUAAAGCGUCUGUAGGUGGUCCAAUAAGUCAACUGUUAAAUCUUGAGGCUCAACCUCAAAAUCGCAGUCGAAACUAUUAGACUAGAGUAUAGUAGGGGUAAAGGGAAUUUCCAGUGGAGCGGUGAAAUGCGUAGAGAUUGGAAAGAACACCGAUGGCGAAGGC
rnacentral:rRNA from 1 species